AGUGAACGCUGGCGGUAGGCCUAACACAUGCAAGUCGAACGGCAGCACAGUAAGAGCUUGCUCUUACGGGUGGCGAGUGGCGGACGGGUGAGGAAUACAUCGGAAUCUACUUUUUCGUGGGGGAUAACGUAGGGAAACUUACGCUAAUACCGCAUACGACCUACGGGUGAAAGCAGGGGAUCUUCGGACCUUGCGCGAUUGAAUGAGCCGAUGUCGGAUUAGCUAGUUGGCGGGGUAAAGGCCCACCAAGGCGACGAUCCGUAGCUGGUCUGAGAGGAUGAUCAGCCACACUGGAACUGGGACACGGUCCAGACUCCUACGGGAGGCAGCAGUGGGGAAUAUUGGACAAUGAGCGAAAGCCUGAUCCAGCCAUACCGCGUGGGUGAAGAAGGCCUUCGGGUUGUAAAGCCCUUUUGUUGGGAAAGAAAAGCAGCAGGUUAAUACCCCGCUGUUCUGACGGUACCCAAAGAAUAAGCACCGGCUAACUUCGUG
rnacentral:rRNA from 1 species